rnacentral:rRNA from 1 species
GUAGGUGGCAAGCGUUGUCCGGAAUUAUUGGGCGUAAAGCGCGCGCAGGCGGUUCUUUAAGUCUGAUGUGAAAGCCCACGGCUCAACCGUGGAGGGUCAUUGGAAACUGGAGAACUUGAGUACAGAAGAGGAAAGCGGAAUUCCACGUGUAGCGGUGAAAUGCGUAGAGAUGUGGAGGAACACCAGUGGCGAAGGCGGCUUUCUGGUCUGUAACUGACGCUGAGGCGCGAAAGCGUGGGGAGCAAACAGGAUUAGACGCCCUGGUAGUCCACGCCGUAAACGAUGAGUGCUAAGUGUUAGGGGGUUUCCGCCCCCCUUAGUGCUGCAGCCAACGCAUUAAGCACUCCGCCUGGGAGUACGGCCGCAAGGCUG